rnacentral:lncRNA from 1 species
UUUAGAAACUAGCUGCAUUGACAAUAUACUCUUGGGAUUGAGAUAUUUAUUAAAAGUCAACUAAAGGUUCAAAAUUGUGCUGGAAUGAGGAGGAAGGCUGAUACAACCUCUGCCCUUGUGAAACCUGACAGGGAGAAGCAAGAAGACAUCUUUCUACCACCGUCUAAAACUGGGAGACCCCGUCAUUACUUUAGUCACCUGGGAUUGGAAAGCAUACAGAUUUUCUAGCCCACAGAUCGACAACCAAGUGAUAUGUCU